rnacentral:snRNA from 1 species
GGAUGUGAGGGUGAUCUGGCUGUGACAUCUGUCACCCCAUUGAUAGCCAGGGUUGAUUUGGCUGAUCUGGCUGGCUAGGAGAGUAUCCCCUUCCUCCCUCACCACCCCAUAUGUGUCCUGCCGGAAGCUGCACGUUUGGUUUAGGUCUAAGAGGAUGACCUUCCCCGAAUAGAGACAGAUCCAGACUGGUCUUCUGUGGAGGGUAUAGGAGUAGCUGUGCUCCCCUGCUGGAACCUUCAAACAUGCUCUCAAGAAACAGCAGGACCGAUUGACUAUGGCUUUUUUUUUGCUUGUUUCUAAUAUGUGUACUAAUGUGUUUUAUACAUUUAAU